rnacentral:rRNA from 1 species
GACAGAGGGUGCAAACGUUGUUCGGAAUUACUGGGCGUAAAGGGCUCGUAGGCGGCCAACUAAGUCGGACGUGAAAUCCCUCGGCUUAACCGGGGAACUGCGUCCGAUACUGGAUGGCUUGAGUUCGGGAGAGGGAUGCGGAAUUCCAGGUGUAGCGGUGAAAUGCGUAGAUAUCUGGAGGAACACCGGUGGCGAAGGCGGCAUCCUGGACCGACACUGACGCUGAGGAGCGAAAGCCAGGGGAGCAAACGGG